UUCUUUAUAUCUUUUUAUUGAAACAAGGUAACUCUCAUAAUGCACUGAAACAUCCUUGAUCUCAAAACAUUGUGCAUGUACCCAAACAGCUGAACUGCAUAGCCAAUGCUUCGGUCAGGGAGUCAAUGAAUAAGAAUUUGGAGCUAUCACUGGUGGGGCACUCUUUAGGGAUGCUUUGUUGGUGGAAGAGAAGUCUUCAUCAAUGGCUAUUGCAAUAACCAAUAGCUGAACUGUAAAAAGUACUUGUGAUCUUUUUCAGCUGGACCAUGCAGAAGAAAACAAUCUAACUGGCCAACUGGAUUGCUAAUCAAUGUGAGGUUGCUAGCAGCAUAUUUUCAAGCAUCUUCAAUCACUUGGUAUUGGUGGUUGAUGUAGGUUGAGACAAAAGUCUAUUGCAGUAUUGGUGUUGCUGUUGCAGUUGGUGCAUCAUUUGUAGAUAGCAAUUGAUUAGAAGUUUAUGUAUUUAGUAUUUAAAGUGAAAAAUUAUGCUUGGAUUUUGGUUUACUAUUGUUAAUAUUAUUAAUUUGGUUUUUAGGUU